GAUGAACGCUAGCGGCAGGCCUAACACAUGCAAGUCGAGGGGCAGCACGUCUUCGGAUGGUGGCGACCGGCGCACGGGUGCGUAACGCGUAUGCAACCUACCUCUUACAGUGGGAUAGCCCAGAGAAAUUUGGAUUAAUACCGCAUAGUAUACAGAUUCAGCAUUGGGACUGUAUUAAACAUUUAUGGGUAAGAGAUGGGCAUGCGUUCUAUUAGUUAGUUGGAGUGGUAACGGCACCCCAAGACAGCGAUAGAUAGGGCCCGUGAGAGGGGAGUCCCCACCACUGGUACUGAGACACGGACCAGACUCCUACGGGAGGCAGCAGUGAGGAAUAUUGGACAAUAGGCGAGAGCCUGAUCCAGCCAUGCCGCGUGCAGGAAGACGGCCC
rnacentral:rRNA from 1 species